GGAUUAGAAACCCGGGUAGUCCACGCUGUAAACGGUGGGUACUAGGUGUGGGGUCCAUUCCACGGGUUCCGCGCCGUAGCUAACGCUUUAAGUACCCCGCCUGGGGAGUACGGCCGCAAGGCUAAAACUCAAAGGAAUUGACGGGGCCCCGCACAAGCGGCGGAGCAUGCGGAUUAAUUCGAUGCAACGCGUAGAACCUUACCUGGGUUUGACAUGGAUCGGGAGUGCUCAGAGAUGGGUGUGCCUCUUUUGGGGUCGGUUCACAGGUGGUGCAUGGCUGUCGUCAGCUCGUGUCGUGAGAUGUUGGGUUAAGUCCCGCAACGAGCGCAACCCUUGUUCACUGUUGCCAGCACGUUAUGGUGGGGACUCAGUGGAGACCGCCGGGGUCAACUCG
rnacentral:rRNA from 1 species